GUCUUUUAACACAAUUUAUUGUACAGUCCAAUGAGGUUAUAUUUCCAGCAAUUCCAAAACAACAUCCAAUAAAUUCUAGCUCUCACCAAAGCACGAACUAUAACACAGUCACUCCCUGGAUGGCUAAAUCGAUUUACCAAACACAGCAUGUGAAAACACCACGUUUACAUAUCAACCUCUUACCUCUCUGCAACCAGCAACCAAAUAAAGGUUCUGAGCCUUUCUUACACUGAUCAGUUAACCUCUUAAGGACACAUGACAUGUGUAACAUGUCAUGAUUCCCUUUUAUUCCAGAGGUUUGGUCCUUAAGGGGUUAAAGACCAUUUAAAUUUUAAUUAAAGUUAGGUGUGGGUCCUUGGUUAUCCCUCACCUGUAGAGCUGCUUGCUGGGAAAUGUAGUUUUUUUUUCUUACUCCCUGAAGGGGAUACAGAUGGUUUUGAUUCUGGGACCUAAAUCUCUUCCUUCGACACCCACACCUUUGACCCGGUCAUACACAUACAUGUAUUAUUAAUAAAUGUAUGUUAUAUUAAAGAGCAUUAAAUUCCAUCUGUACAUUGUGCUAGCAGAAAUUUUAAUUUAAAGAGCUUUAAUUUAAAAAACGGCUGUGUCACUGUGUUACUCCCCCAGCAGGAGCUUAUUGGCGGAGUAUGGGAAUACUCUGACGCCAGUGUGUUGGAAGUGAAGCCAGGAUAUAAGCAUCAGCACAGGGGCUUGCUAUGUUUAUGGAGGGGACCCAAGCAGGACCAAUCACUCAACAUGCAGCCAAACCUCAUAUACAAUCACACUCCGUCAACACAAUCGGACUCAACCAUUCCCCACACAGAAUCACACUCAGCCACCGCACAUAUCCCACUCAGAUGUACUGCUUAGGGGAAGCAAGGAGGGCGGUAACGGGACCUUCCUUUGAUUCUUCCACCGGGGUCCUGUGAUUCCUAGUUAUGCCCCUCCCAGGCAACAUGAUCACUUCCAAUCCAUGAAGUGGUUAUGGUGCUUGGAAUAACCAUUUUAAGCCCAUAGUUUUGAAAUGGGAUGUCCAACAUGCUCAUAUGGACGUGACAGUCGAUUAUCCAUAUAGUAUAUAAAGAUUCUUACAGGGCCAUUUACUAGAGUGUGA